UACGUAGGGCGCAAGCGUUGUCCGGAAUUAUUGGGCGUAAAGAGCUCGUAGGCGGUGUGUCGCGUCGGCCGUGAAAACCUGCAGCUUAACUGUGGGCUUGCGGUCGGUACGGGCAUCACUGGAGUUCGGCAGGGGAGACUGGAAUUCCUGGUGUAGCGGUGAAAUGCGCAGAUAUCAGGAGGAACACCGGUGGCGAAGGCGGGUCUCUGGGCCGUAACUGACGCUGAGGAGCGAAAGCGUGGGUAGCAAACAGG
rnacentral:rRNA from 1 species